CUGGAGGUCAUCUGUGGUCAUCACAGCAGGGAAGCCAGCCCCAGUGAAACAAACACAGAGGCGCAGGGUCAGAGGACCCCUGAAAAGCUAUGUGACCUAGGAGAAGGGAGGUUGUACGUGGAUAUGAAAUAGAAAGAGAGAAGAAGGAAGUGGAGUCUGCAGAGACGAGGAAAUCUAAUCACCCAUCCAGCUGAACUCUACGUUUGUCAUGACUCAUGGGAGGGGUGGGGGCAGAAAAGGAAAGGGAGAAAGAAAAUGCUGAUUUCAAAUCCAACUUAACCUGAGGUAAUGAAAGCUACGGUGAGGAGUUCUACAUGAUUAACGGGAGAAAAUGCAGAUGGCCUGAAUGGAAGCCACAAUGUAAAAUAUGGUUUUAUAAACAGGGCUGAAAGAAA